UAUCAAAAUACAAGAGAAUGCUGCAACGACCAAGGUGCCAUAUAUAUAUCGAAGGAGGAUUCAGAAUAUGAAGUUACUGGAAACACUGUUGGAAGUGUUGGUCCUGAGAGCACAGAAAAGGAUUCAUCAUUUCUUAUAAAAACAUUAGAAUCAUUCAAAGAAGCUUUGAUUAAGGAGGAUGACACAAAUGUUGCUGAGAUUGAGGCCUUCUUACUUUGCAUUGAUGUCGAUGAUGAGAAGAACUCUCUUAUGAGGAAAAUCAUUGCUUUGAAUUAUUGAUAACCGUGAGAGAUCGUGUCUUGAGAGCAGGUGCAGAAUCUGAAUUCUACAGAUUGAGAGCAGGUGCAGAUUCUGAAUUCUGCACACAGAAGACAGAACAGAGAGCUGGUGGCAAAUGUGCAAGGGGAAGUUAUGGAGAGCUUUCUUUGCUAGCUGAAUAAGUCUAUCAGGAGUCAAGGCCUGUUUUGUUGGAGGCUUGAUGGAACUUGCCUGGCCUGAUAAGUAACUGUGCGCGCGGUCGUCCUGGGUGCUUGGCUUGAGCUAGCAUGCCGUGUUGUUAUCUUGGUUGAGGCAGCUGGAGUUAGCAAGGUGAUUAGUCAAGGGUGGUUGUCGAUGCCAUCUAAAAAAUAGGUCUUAAAACUUCAUAUUUUCUCAGGAAAAAUUCGUAUGAAUUAAUGAAUAUCAGGCUACAUUCAGGCGAUAUUGUUUGUCAGGCACAGCGCUCAGGGUAGCAACCACACAUUUAAGUGAGCUUUUGUUGAAAUGCGUUGGUACUUUAGUUUUUAGAUUCUGUGAUGAUGGUAUGCAUAAAUACAUGAGCUCUUUCAACCAGUACCACAUAGUAUUAAUGAGGUAACAGAAGCUUGCAAUUCCAUUAUCCUGCAUCUGCCCAAGUCUAGAAGGUCAGAUAAGUUGUUCCGCAAGAUAGACAACAAUUUUUUAUGAGUCAUCACAGUGGGCCGAGAACUUGUUGAUGAAGCCAAUGAUUGGGUUGAUCAUAGUGAUACGGCAUCAGACGUAAUGCUAGAUUUAACCCCAGACAAAUGGGCAAACAUGAAAAGAGGAAAGAUGUCAAUGCAUGAGCCAGAGGGUUCCAGUGGUGAAUAUUUUGGACCAGAAGUUAUGGAUGUUUCACGCGAAGAAGCCAUUCUUUCCAAUGUUUACAUAUAAGAUAUACCAGUACAUCCCAAUUGGUAGGGCCCCUCCACUGAUAAGCUGGAUAUCCUUUUAACAAGUGGCUCAGAGAGAAUAAAGCGUUAGAUUUUAUCAUACUUUUACAGUUUAACAUGUCAAAGAAGGGAGAGGAGACACCAGCGGAUGGCAAGAUGGAUGAACUGUUGGAUUGUGUUAGCCUUAAUUACCUAAUUCCUAAUGAAGUGGAAAACUUUAUGACCAGCAUAGAAAAUGUGCAACACUCUUCUUCUGAGUAUGAAGGGCAGAAUGAUGAUUUCGAAGCAAAUAUCAUUGAGCAAGAUGAUGAACACAUUGGAAAGAUUUUACUAAUCUUACUGUUGCAUGCAAAGACAUUGGUGAUGUCAUAUCAGAAGACCCACAGAAGGUUUAGGUUUCCGAGGGCAAGCAGAAAUAAGUGAUAGCUAUGCCGAUAUUCUAAAUAAUGGCAACACAUAUUAUGUAAACACAGUUCUGCAGUAUUUUCAUUGUUUAUCGGAGCUCAAAGAAAUCUUAAUAAUUUGUGAAGACGUAUGAGUGCUCGGGGCUGAUGUUCUAUGGUUGAUUUCGGAAUGUGUAAGAGCAGGGCGAAUGGUUCCUCAAGUGGGAUCGUACUCUGAGGGGAAUGGUUCCUCAAAUAUUCAGUGAGCAAAAAGGGCAGUGGAAGGCAGCAACCCAACCCCAGGAGUUCCUUUGAAACCUUCAGCGUUAAUACAAUUAUGCUUACACAGAUCAUGAGAAGUAGGAUGCUAUAAAUGUAAUAUUGGGCCAUUUCCAGCCUCAACAAAGCAAACCUCCUUUUGUGGACGUUGGACUGAGAUCAGCAUUACAAUAUUGGCCGCCAAGGAACUCUAAUUGAAGAAACUGGAAGGUCUGGCUGUUGUGAUGGCCGAAGGAAGAGCAAGGAGGGGGGGAGGGAUGGCAGAGGAGGUUCACAUAUAUAGGUCGACAUCGACCGAGUACGAGCGGCCGUAGGUCACAAGGGGGCGUGGAACUGAUGCAGGCCAUCUGUGACAGAGCAGACUACAGCGACUUUGCACAGCUAGGCGCCGUGACCCGGCCUCAGUCGCAGGGCCAGGGCGAAGCCGUAUCCCCGACGCCCAAGACACGGCCACGGUGGUGUAGCCUGUGGUGAGACAUACCAGACUCUAACGACUUUGCCGAGCCAGUGCAAAUGUGUUUGUUGAUCAACUAAACUUGGUGAAUGUACAAUCAGGGGGAGCCUUGAAGCCUUCUCAUGUAA